rnacentral:tRNA from 1 species
AGCAGGAUGCCUGAAUAAAGGAUUACUUUGAUGUAGUAAAAUAAGUGUAAAAUCACUCAUGCUA